rfam:Rattus norvegicus chromosome 4, whole genome shotgun sequence.
GGAUUUAGCUCAGUGGUAGAGCGCUUGCCUAGCAAGCGCAAGGCCCUGGGUUCCAUCCCCAGAUCUG